CCUACGGGAGGCUGCAGUGAGGAAUAUUGGUCAAUGGCCGGAAGGCUGAACCAGCCAUGCCGCGUGAAGGUCAGUGCCCUCUGGGCGUUAAACUUCUUUUUUGCGGGAGCAAUCAUGGUCACGUGUGGCCAGACGAGAGUACCGUACGAAUAAGCAUCGGCUAACUCCGUUCCAGCAGCCGCGGUAAUACGGGGGAUGCGAGCGUUAAUCGGAAUUACUUGGCGUAAAGCGCUCGUAGGCGGUAUGUCAAGUCAACGGUGAAAUGCCCGCGAUCAACGUGGGUCCUGCAUUUGAAACUGGCAAACUGGAGUGUGUGAGAGGAUAGCGGAAUUCGAGGUGUAGGAGUGAAAUGCGUAGAUAUCUGGAGGAACAGCAGUGGCGAAGGCGACUAGCUGGCACAUAACUGACGCUGAGGAGCGAAAGAGUGGGUAGCAAACAGGAUUAGAUACCCGAGUAGUC
rnacentral:rRNA from 1 species